CCCUUUCUCUCUUUCACACACACACACACACACACAGUGACGCAUACAGAAAUGAACCAAGGAAAUCCCCAAACAACUCUUACGACACAGCAUGCUGCCACACUAUUUUCUUUACCGCCCGUAUUUAGAGAAAUCCCGCCUUUCUCACUUCUGAUUGGAUAGUAUUUGUCACUACCUGCGCCUGGAUUGGCUAGUAGUAAGUACUCACAAGCCAUCCUCCAAUCGGAUGAGACGUUCACUCUGCGCCUUAAGUAAUGGGGCGGGGUUCGUCAGACAUAAUUCGGGCGGGUUAUGAAAUUUGCCGCUCAGCUCUUUUGGUAGCUAGUUAACCUAGCUAGCGUUGCGCUCCUCACGGUAUCAGCGUCGUCAUUUUAGACGGUGGACAAACGUCGUUUUCGCACACGGAACGAGCUCUAAAAAGGUCCUCUCUCAGUAAUCCAGCCGCUCCGGUGUGUGACCGCGGACGCAGCGCUCCAGCCCCCCCAGCCCAGCCGCCUCCGAAUCAGGGAGAAUAUAUGAAGACAUCGUACGAAGUGCCGCGGGAAACACUGCUCUCAGAAAUGUACGGCACGGCGGGAAUGCCCGAGCUCCUGCCCCCGGCGGAGUGCGAGCUCAGACCCAGCCCGCUGUACAGCGGCGUGGAGGCGCAGAGGAGCGGCGCUGAGAUGCGGCCUCCUCCGCAGAGAACACAGAGAGCCCCCAAACUCGGCCAGAUCGGCCGCUCCAAGAGAGUGGUCAUUGACGAUGAAGACUUGGAUGACAUCAUGAACAACAACAGAAGCUUUCCUGUAUCCAUCAGUGUCUCACCUAUUGCCUAA
rnacentral:lncRNA from 1 species